rnacentral:lncRNA from 1 species
UGAAACUCCCAUAACCUCUUCUUUUUGUUUCAUUUUCCAGAAAACUGCAAGAAAUUGUUUAAAUAUAUUCUCUGUCGAAACAGAAGAAACCUUUUUGUUUCUGUUUUGAUUCAGAUCAUCUCUUUGGUUUUUUCGGUUUUAAUUGUUGUUUGAAUUUUCUGUUUUGAUUCAGAUCAUCUUCCAGUGUUUGAAUUUUCUUCGAUGGAUUGUUUUCUUGUUCAUACAUAUUCAUCACUCAUUCCAACAUUAUCCCACAAAGCACCAUAUCGUUCUUUAAUUUUCUUGCUAUAAUUCGUUUUUUUUUCUGGGGAAUUUUCUUUAUUUUUCCCAGAAAAUAUUUCGCAUUUUAACAUUGGAGAGAUAUACAAAAGAAGAAGUAACCAAAACCAUGUUGCAAGACGUGAUCUCGUCUCAUGAUCAGCUUUCCAUCGUAAUCCUCUUCUUACAUUCUUUCUAU